rnacentral:misc_RNA from 1 species
AUUAACAACAAAUGUUUAAAUGGACGCAUCGUCCAUUAUAACCCAAGUUUCGCGGGAUGACGAACUAGGCCAGUUUAAUAACGAGAAAGUUCAAUUACCGAGAGAAAAUGAAGUGGCCAGUGGGCCGAGAAAUGGGAAAAAACCGAGAGGGCGAGGUCUUCUACGAUCGCUACUUUGUUGUUUGGGACGAGGAAGGGGUGGUAGUUCAAAAAGUUCAAAAGCCAGCUCUUUGCAAGGCGAUGGGAGAAUUUCGCCAUCCCUUGGUAGCAGUUCGCCACGAUUUUUACUCCCCCCUGUUCGCCACCAGGACAUGCAUAAAAAGUGCAUGGUGAUUGAUUUGGACGAAACGUUAGUUCAUAGUUCAUUCAAGCCAAUUAAUAAUGCAGAUUUUGUCGUACCGGUCGAAAUAGAUGGUACUGUGCAUCAGGUCUAUGUACUAAAGAGGCCUUACGUCGAUGAAUUUUUACAAAGAAUGGGCGAGCUUUACGAGUGUGUUUUAUUCACUGCCAGCCUAGCCAAGUACGCCGACCCAGUAGCAGACUUAUUGGACCGAUGGGGCGUAUUCAGAGCGAGAUUAUUCAGAGAGUCGUGUGUCUUCCACAGAGGAAAUUACGUUAAGGAUCUGAACAAAUUGGGUCGAGAUCUUCAGCAAAUCAUAAUCGUUGACAAUAGUCCUGCUAGCUACAUUUUCCACCCAGACAAUGCGGUACCAGUGGCAUCGUGGUUUGACGAUAUGACAGAUUCCGAACUUCUAGACCUUAUACCUUUCUUUGAAAAGUUAACCAAGGUGGAUAAUAUCUAUACGGUACUUUGCAACAGCAAUCAUCCCUACAAUCAAGCCCCGCCAACAAGACAAAAUAGCCCUAGCCCAGUUUCUGGUCCCCCAGUUGUGAAUUCCUAGCAACGUCGGACAUCUGGUUCAGCAGCCAGCAGCCUCCCUCAGCACUCCGUAAGAAGGGCUCUUAUCCGUGCCCUCUACAUCGCUCACUUGUUGUGUUACGGACAGCCAACCAUGCCCAGCUAAGUUACAAAAAAACUAGUACACAACUACCAGUGUCUACUAGUCCCUUGUAUGUAAUUGGCUAAAAGCAAAGCGAGUUUAAAAUUUGCUGCUGCAAAUCUCCAGAGCUUGGUCAGAACCUCUACCUUUUUUUAUCGACACAACAAUCAGGGGUUCAAGAAACAAUCUGAGCAUCUCUUCCAGAGUUGCUCGUUCGAUCAUUGUGAAUUGUUGAUUGCAAUGCAUCUGCCUCUCGGUUCUAAACAAUCGCCAAUAAUUCAGAUUUAUGUAUUAUUCGCGCUAGUUCAUUUCUUCCAUCCAUUCAUUUCAAAUUGAAUUACACGAUAUAUGAAUCUGUAGAAGAACCGUUGAGUAAGUCAAACGUAUUCGAUGUGUGAGCAACGAGAGUAACUAUAGAUUGCUCAGAGUUCAAGACAGAUGGAGUUAUGCUUGAACAAAUUUUAAAUUUGUUACCGUAUUCCAUCUCUAAAGCUUAUCGUAACGGGCCCAUUUUCUGGUAGGUAUACCCUAGUUUUUAAUAUACAGAAUGUAAUUGUAUUACAGAUAUCUUCGAACUAUUUCAGUUAGAUCUUCGAAGCCCAAUCCUUAGUGUCGGUAAUAUUUCGAGAGUUAUUGUCUUCUGGUUUCCAGUUGAUUCUGUCUGUAUAAAUUGAACAAGAAAACCAAGCAGUCCUCCAAAUUGACCGCUCUAUGGAAUCAGGAGAAGAAAAAAGCAAAUUCCAGUACCGAUCGCCCUUACUAUACACAGCAUCUCUUGACGUGAGAAUAUUUUUCAUCUUAUUAUAUUCUAUCUAUUGUUUUGCUUCUUUGCUUUUUGAUCUGAACAGGCAAAUGCUAUUCAAUUGCACAGUUUCCAAUCAAUUAGAUUCUACGUACUAUGAACCCAGUUGAUUAUUCAUCGGAUAUUGUUUCGAGAGAUUCGUAGUUGUAAUCGGUUUCCAGAUUCGAUAUUUAAAUCGAUUUCACAUUAAUUUUGAUGAAACUAACACUUGUGCUAGACAAUAAUUAAAAUAUCUCUGGAAAUUAUCUCGAUUUGUGUCAGAAUCAAGGGCAAGUCAGUGUUACAGCAUUCUCAAAUAUACGAGCAAGUCAACCGGAGAUUGUUUUAACUGUGCAAUACGAUCUGCAAGUAUACAUUGCUCUUUAAGUACUUUGCAGACUUAUAAUUGCGACGAUUAUCCCACCCCUUUGAUUCAAUCAUCCCUGUCGACGAGGGAUAAAUGUAAAAUAAUAUGCAUUGCUGUGGUUAAGUGAGGUUGCUGAACCGUUUGAUUGUUCAAAUUCGAGGAAGCGGUUCAGUGGGUUUUAAUACAUACGUGAAUGUGAAUGGAAACUUAAACAUCUAUUUUAAAACAGUUACGCAAUACCAGGUUUCAGAUAAAGUUUGUUAUCUUGUGACCUAAUAAUAAGCAGUAUCUGUGUAUAUGUAAAAUCGAGUCCACAAUGGCUUACAAUUAGAAAAGUGCAAAUGUGUCACUAAGUGUGUGUGCGCGUGAGUGAGAAUGUUUUGUAUGAGUCAUCGUAACCCGAAUACGUGAAUAUAGGUAUAAAUAGGAUGAAUAUAAUGAAUUCAAUGCACAGACAGGCUGCACUGGACCAUGCAAGCCUUUGAUAUUUUUUCGUACUGCAAAAGUAAGAGUAUUCUAAAAAUUGUCGUACCCUAUAAUCACUUCGGUAAAUUUGAAGUGGUACUGCAAUUAUGAUAAUUGAAGUAACGAGUUGCACUG